GUUUUACCUUGACGAAUUGUAGUUUAAAGAAGUGUUUUCUGUUGAAGUUUUGGUAAAAGUUCUUUGGAAUAGGACAUCAUAGAGGGUGAGAAUCCCGUAUUUGACCAUUAUUUUCAGCUGUGUGAUACACUUUCAAAGAGUCGGAUUGUUUGGGAAUGCAGUCCAAAAUGGGUGGUAAAUUUCAUCUAAAGCUAAAUAUUGGCGAGAGACCGAUAGCGAACAAGUACCGUGAGGGAAAGAUGAAAAGAACUUUGAAAAGAGAGUUAAACAGUACGUGAAAUUGUCAAAAGGGAAGCGUUUGACACCAGUGUUGUUUUCUCGAAAAUCAAUUAAAAAGAGUUGGAUUUUGUGUUGUAUUGACCUUAACAGCUUUCUUCACUCUUUUCCUGCUUUUUUU
rnacentral:rRNA from 1 species